rnacentral:rRNA from 1 species
AUUGAACGCUGGCGGCAUGCCUUACACAUGCAAGUCGAACGGCAGCGGACCUUCGGGUGCCGGCGAGUGGCGAACGGGUGAGUAAUAUAUCGGAACGUACCUUUCAGUGGGGGAUAACGUAGCGAAAGUUACGCUAAUACCGCAUAUUCUGUGAGCAGGAAAGCAGGGGAUCGCAAGACCUUGCGCUGAUUGAGCGGCCGAUAUCAGAUUAGCUAGUUGGUGAGGUAAAGGCUCACCAAGGCGACGAUCUGUAGCGGGUCUGAGAGGAUGAUCCGCCACACUGGAACUGAGACACGGUCCAGACUCCUACGGGAGGCAGCAGUGGGGAAUUUUGGACAAUGGGCGUAAGCCUGAUCCAGCCAUGCCGCGUGAGUGAAGAAGGCCUUGGUUGUAAAGCUCUUUCGGUCCGGGAAGAAGUACGCACGGGUUAAUACCCUGUGUGGAUGACGGUACCGGAAUAAGAAG